rnacentral:rRNA from 1 species
UACGUAGGGUGCAAGCGUUAAUCGGAAUUACUGGGCGUAAAGCGUGCGCAGGCGGUUUUGUAAGUCUGUCGUGAAAUCCCCGGGCUCAACCUGGGAAUUGCGAUGGAGACUGCAAGGCUAGAAUCUGGCAGAGGGGGGUAGAAUUCCACGUGUAGCAGUGAAAUGCGUAGAGAUGCGGAGGAACACCGGUGGCGAAGGCGGCGAUCUGGGAAGAUACUGACGCUGAGGUGCGAAAGCGUGGGGAGCAAACAGG